UACGUAGGGGGCAAGCGUUGUCCGGAUUUAUUGGGCGUAAAGAGCGUGUAGGCGGCCAGACAGGUCCGUUGUGAAAACUCGAGGCUCAACCUCGAGAUGUCGAUGGAAACCGUCUGGCUAGAGUCCGGAAGAGGAGUGUGGAAUUCCUGGUGUAGCGGUGAAAUGCGCAGAUAUCAGGAAGAACACCGAUGGCGAAGGCAGGUCUCUGGGCCACUACUGACGCUGAGAAGCGAAAGCAUGGGGAGCGAACAGG
rnacentral:rRNA from 1 species